rnacentral:rRNA from 1 species
GAUGAACGCUGGCGGCGUGCCUAAUACAUGCAAGUCGAGCGAAUGGAUUAAGAGCUUGCUCUUAUGAAGUUAGCGGCGGACGGGUGAGUAACACGUGGGUAACCUGCCCAUAAGACUGGGAUAACUCCGGGAAACCGGGGCUAAUACCGGAUAACAUUUUGAACCGCAUGGUUCGAAAUUGAAAGGCGGCUUGGGAUGUCACUUAUGGAUGGACCCGCGUCGCAUUAGCUAGUUGGUGAGGUAACGGCUCACAAAGGCAACGAUGCGUGGCCGACCUGAGAGGGUGAUCGGCCACACUGGGACUGAGACACGGCCCAGACUCCUACGGGAGGCAGCAGUAGGGAAUCUUCCGCAAUGGACGAAAGUCUGACGGAGCAACGCCGCGUGAGUGAUGAAGGCUUUCGGGUCGUAAAACUCUGUUGUUAGGGAAGAACAAGUGCUAGUUGAAUAAGCUGGCACCUUGACGGUACCUAACCAGAAAGCCACGGCUAACUACGUGCCAGCCGCCGCCGUAA